GACGAACGCUGGCGGCGUGCCUAAUACAUGCAAGUUGAGCGCUGAAGGUUGGUACUUGUACCAACUGGAUGAGCAGCGAACGGGUGAGUAACGCGUGGGGAAUCUGCCUUUGAGCGGGGGACAACAUUUGGAAACGAAUGCUAAUACCGCAUAAAAACUUUAAACACAAGUUUUAAGUUUGAAAGAUGCAAUUGCAUCACUCAAAGAUGAUCCCGCGUUGUAUUAGCUAGUUGGUGAGGUAAAGGCUCACCAAGGCGAUGAUACAUAGCCGACCUGAGAGGGUGAUCGGCCAAAUUGGGACUGAGACACGGCCCAAACUCCUACGGGAGGCAGCAGUAGGGAAUCUUCGGCAAUGGACGAAAGUCUGACCGAGCAACGCCGCGUGAGUGAAGAAGGUUUUCGGAUCGUAAAACUCUGUUGGUAGGGAAGAACGUUGGUGAGAGUGGAAAGCUCAUCAAGUGACGGUAACUACCCAGAAAGGGACGGCUAACUACGUG
rnacentral:rRNA from 1 species